GAAUAAGCACCGGCUAACUCUGUGCCAGCAGCCGCGGUAAUACAGAGGGUGCAAGCGUUAAUCGGAUUACUGGGCGUAAAGCGCGCGUAGGUGGUUUGUUAAGUUGGAUGUGAAAUCCCCGGGCUCAACCUGGGAACUGCAUUCAAAACUGACUGACUAGAGUAUGGUAGAGGGUGGUGGAAUUUCCUGUGUACGGUGAAAUGCGUAGAUAUAGGAAGGAACACCAGUGGCGAAGGCGACCACCUGGACUAAUACUGACACUGAGGUGCGAAAGCGUGGGGAGCAAACAGGAUUAGAUACCCUGGUAGUCCACGCCGUAACGAUGUCAGAUAGCCGUUGGGAGCCUUGAGCUCUUAGUGGCGCAGCUAACGCAUUAAGUUGACCGCCUGGGGAGUACGGCCGCAAGGUUAAAACUCAAAUGAAUUGACGGGGGCCCGCACAAGCGGUGAGCAUGUGGUUUAAUUCGAAGCAACGCGAAGAACCUUACCAGGCCUUGACAUCCAAUGAACUUUCUAGAGAUAGAUUGGUGCCUUCGGGAACAUUGAGACAGGUGCUGCAUGGCUGUCGUCAGCUCUGUCGUGAGAUGUUGGGUUAAGUCCCGUAACGAGCGCAACCCUUGUCCUUAGUUACCAGCACGUAAUGGUGGGCACUCUAAGGAGACUGCCGGUGACAAACCGGAGGAAGGUGGGGAUGACGUCAAGCAUCAUGGCCCUUACGGCCUGGGCUACACACGUGCUACAAUGGUCGGUACAGAGGGUUGCCAAGCCGCGAGGUGGAGCUAAUCCCACAAAACCGAUCGUAGUCCGGAUCGCAGUCUGCAACUCGACUCGUGAAGUCGGAAUCGCUAGUAAUCGCGAAUCAGAAUGUCGCGGUGAAUUCGUUCCCGGGCCUUGUACACACCGCCCGUCACACCAUCGGAGUG
rnacentral:rRNA from 1 species